GUGGGGAAUCUUCCGCAAUGGACGAAAGUCUGACGGAGCAACGCCGCGUGAGUGAAGAAGGUUUUCGGAUCGUAAAGCUCUUUCGUUAGGGACGAACGUGCUCUUUGUGAAUAAUGAGGAGUAAUGACGGUACCUAAAUAAUAAGCCACGGCUAACUACGUGCCAGCAGCCGCGGUAAUACGUAGGUGGCAAGCGUUGUCCGGAAUUAUUGGGCGUAAAGCGCGCGCAGGCGGGAUAUCAAGUCUGUCUUAAAAGUGCGAGGCUCAACCUCGUGAGGGGACAGAAACUGGUAUUCUUGAGUGUCGGAGAGGAAAGUGGAAUUCCAAGUGUAGCGGUGAAAUGCGUAGAGAUUUGGAAGAACACCAGUGGCGAAGGCGACUUUCUGGACGAUGUCUGACGCUGAGGCGCGAAAGCUAGGGGAGCGAACGGGAUUAGAAACCCUGGUAGUCC
rnacentral:rRNA from 1 species